rnacentral:lncRNA from 1 species
AGCUAACAUGUCUCAUGUAUAAUAGAUUUUUAUUACUGAAAAUUUUGACAUUUUUUUUUUUUUGUGAUGGAUUUAUUAUUGCAAAAAUUGUGUUUAAAGAUAAACUUGAAUUUAAAAACUUUUAUUGCAUUAUUUUUGUGCAGCAUAUCAUGAUCAGAAUAAUUCAUAUUGCAUGGGGUUGAUUUUUCAACACUGGUAGUAACAAACACAUGCAAACAUUACUGAAUUUAAGGUGGUACCCAACACCAUCUCUAAAAUUAACUUGGCUCGUUUAAUUUUCAUAAAAUUUUGACAAAGUAUUUACUUUGACCAUUUGACAAAAAUAUAAAAAUUUCAAAAAAAUUGAACCAACCAUUUUAUCAGAAAAAUACACUGGUUAUAUAGCAGUUUGACAAACACUAAUUUAGAUCAUUGAGAAGCUUAAUAUUCCUUUAACAAUACAAUGUAAUUAAAACGUUUAGCUGAUUUUUAAAGAGUUAUCUCCCUGUAGUGUUAGGUACCACCAUAAAACACUUUUUUGAUAUUUAUUAUAAACAAAUGAUACCAUUGAAGUUAUUUGACUGCAAUUUCUAUAGAGGGCUAUUUUACUGACUGUAAAAUUGAGAAUGAAAAUGAUUAAUGUGUCAAAGAUACAACAACCAAACCCAAGGCCACCAAUGCGUUUUCAACACAGCGGGAAAAUCCAGCACCAAGGUGGCUUACUUCAGCUGGCCCCGUAACAAAAAUGUGUACUUGUUCAGUGAAAAUGGUAUAAAUAUUAUAGAAAAAAUUAUCAAAGCCCUUUGUAGGCAAAUUAUUAUGCAGAUGGUGAUAGAAAGAAAGUUGAUUGUAGUAAUAUGUAUUAAUACAUUUCUAGGAAAAGAAAAUCCUGUGUAAAAAGUUAAAAUCAUAAUAUUUAAUUGAGUAAAUGUGAUACAUUGUUGCUUUUUGUUUGUAUUUCACAUGGAAGUGCUUUAUUUGUGCAACCACAAUUUUUAUUUCAGAGAAAAUUACCAGUAUUGUUAGUUAAUAUGUGCCUGUAUUUGUUAUAAAUAUUUUUAUUUUAGUUAAAAGCUCAAUCUUGUAUCGCCAUAGAAACUGUUGCUGUGUUUUUUCUGUUAUAUAACAGUUAUCAGGGUAUAUAGCUAGGUAAAAUGGAGUACUGUAAAAUCGGAAAUUAUUGUAAGGUUUUUGUUUAUGUGACUACUUAAGUAUCAUUAUGAUAAGAACUUGCAUUCUGAUAUCAAAUACAUAACUGUAUGUAGCUUUCCUAAAAUUGCAAUAAUAUAUGCACACAAUGAAUUUCAAAUUUACAGUUCAGAUAUUUUGAUAAAAGUAUUUUACAAAUAUGAAUAAUCUUUCUAAAUCAUGUUAUCUGUUUUGGUUGAAGGAACAAAUAUUUGUUUCUGUCACAAUUUAUUUUAAGAUCGAUCUGCUUAUUUUUUCUGUUCAUGCAUAUGACAAUGUUUGUACGUUUUUCAUUGAAGACAAUACUUAUACUACC